GAAUAGCAAAUCAAAAUGAACUUAGUCAGUUAUUGUUCUUUGUAGAAAGAGACAAUUUCUUUUCAGGUUUUCUUUUUCGGUUUCUCAUUUUAGGCCUACAGUAUUUAUUUUUUACUCAAAUAUUAGGAAUAUUAUACUUGUGGGCAAUCAAUGAAUUUAAGGAAUACUCCUUUUUUAGGUGCUCAUGAUGCAACUUCCUGGAUGGUGUGUAAAUUGUUUAUCAGCAUGUGAAAUCCACAUGAUUGAAGGAGAAGUCUUCCUUGUUAAAGAUCAGCAACGGCAGAUAAACAAUUCAUGAUGCAAUCUGCUCACUAAAAAGAUUACACCAAUACAUCCCAUGACAUGUAUUUCUACCUGUCACCUAUGUAACCUUUGUCAUGCUCUUCAGAGAGUCAUCAACAGGAAAAGGAAUUACCGGUAAGUUGACAGGACUUUCCACACUGUUUCUGGUAGCAGCUUAUGAUUGAAUUGAUGGUAGAAGACGUGGCCCACUUAAUCAAAGAUAAUCUGUAUAGAGUGGCACCUUAACCACCACUGGUGAAAUAGAUGACUAGUGGAUGGUCAUCACUUUGCAGCUCACUUUCACUUUCUGCAGCCCAUCUCUUCUCAUCCACAAUCAUUGUCUUUGGAGGAAUGGUGACA